GUUGUUUACAUGCAGGUGAGCGGAUGA
rnacentral:sRNA from 1 species